rnacentral:rRNA from 1 species
UGAUGGAUGGGGAUGCGUCUGAUUAGCUUGUUGGCGGGGUAACGGCCCACCAAGGCAACGAUCAGUAGGGGUUCUGAGAGGAAGGUCCCCCACAUUGGAACUGAGACACGGUCCAAACUCCUACGGGAGGCAGCAGUGAGGAAUAUUGGUCAAUGGACGAGAGUCUGAACCAGCCAAGUAGCGUGCAGGAAGACGGCCCUAUGGGUUGUAAACUGCUUUUAUAAGGGAAUAAAGUGAGUCUCGUGAGACUUUUUGCAUGUACCUUAUGAAUAAGGACCGGCUAAUUCCGUGCCAGCAGCCGCGGUAAUACGGAAGGUCCGGGCGUUAUCCGGAUUUAUUGGGUUUAAAGGGAGCGUAGGCCGGAGAUUAAGCGUGUUGUGAAAUGUAGAUGCUCAACAUCUGAACUGCAGCGCGAACUGGUUUCCUUGAGUACGCACAAAGUGGGCGGAAUUCGUGGUGUAGCGGUGAAAUGCUUAGAUAUCACGAAGAACUCCGAUUGCGAAGGCAGCUCACUGGAGCGCAACUGACGCUGAAGCUCGAAAGUGCGGGUAUCGAACAGGAUUAGAUACCCUGGUAGUCCGCACGGUAAAC